UACGUAGGGCGCGAGCGUUGUCCGGAAUCAUUGGGCGUAAAGAGCUCGUAGGCGGCCGGUUGCGUCUGCUGUGAAAUCCCGGGGCUUAACCCCGGGCGUGCAGUGGAUACGGGCUGGCUGGAGGCAGGCAGGGGAGAAUGGAAUUCCCGGUGUAGCGGUGAAAUGCGCAGAUAUCGGGAGGAACACCGGUGGCGAAGGCGGGUCUCUGGGCCGAUAUUGACGCUGAGGAGCGAAAGUGUGGGGAGCGAACAGG
rnacentral:rRNA from 1 species